UCGAGCGGUAAGGCCCUUCGGGGUACACGAGCGGCGAACGGGUGAGUAACACGUGAGCAACCUACCCUCAACUUCGGGAUAAGCCUCGGAAACGGGGUCUAAUACCGGAUAUCACUUCUGCCUUCAUGGGUGGGGGUUGAAAGUUCUGGCGGUUGGGGAUGGGCUCGCGGCCUAUCAGCUUGUUGGUGGGGUAAUGGCCUACCAAGGCGUCGACGGGUAGCCGGCCUGAGAGGGCGACCGGCCACACUGGGACUGAGACACGGCCCAGACUCCUACGGGAGGCAGCAGUGGGGAAUAUUGCGCAAUGGACGAAAGUCUGACGCAGCAACGCCGCGUGAGGGAUGACGGCCUUCGGGUUGUAAACCUCUUUCAGCAGGGACGAAGCGAGAGUGACGGUACCUGCAGAAGAAGGACCGGCCAACUACGUGCCAGCAGCCGCGGUAAUACGUAGGGUCCGAGCGUUGUCCGGAAUUAUUGGGCGUAAAGGGCUCGUAGGCGGUUCGUCACGUCGGGAGUGAAAACUCGGAGCUCCACUCCGAGCCUGCUUCCGAUACGGGCAGACUAGAGGUAGGCAGGGGAGAGCGGAACUCCUGGUGUAGCGGUGGAAUGCGCAGAUAUCAGGAAGAACACCGGUGGCGAAGGCGGCUCUCUGGGCCUUACCUGACGCUGAGGAGCGAAAGCGUGGGUAGCGAACAGGAU
rnacentral:rRNA from 1 species